AUAAUUAUAGCUUAAGAAAAGCGUUGAUUUUGUAAAUCAAAUAUGUGUAAUACUAAUU
rnacentral:tRNA from 1 species